rnacentral:rRNA from 1 species
UACGUAGGGGGCAAGCGUUGUCCGGAAUCAUUGGGCGUAAAGAGCGUGUAGGCGGUUCAGUAAGUCUGCUGUGAAAGUCCAGGGCUCAACCCUGGGAUGCCGGUGGAUACUGCUGGGCUAGAGUACGGAAGAGGCGAGUGGAAUUCCCGGUGUAGCGGUGAAAUGCGCAGAUAUCGGGAGGAACACCAAUGGCGAAGGCAGCUCGCUGGGACGUGACUGACGCUGAGACGCGAAAGCGUGGGGAGCAAACAGG